rnacentral:rRNA from 1 species
AACGAACGCUGGCGGCAUGCCUAACACAUGCAAGUCGAACGAGACCUUCGGGUCUAGUGGCGCACGGGUGCGUAACGCGUGGGAACCUGCCCUUAGGUUCGGAAUAACUCCCCGAAAGGGGUGCUAAUACCGGAUAAGGUCUUCGGACCAAAGAUUUAUCGCCUUUGGAUGGGCCCGCGUUGGAUUAGCUAGUGGGUAGGGUAAAAGUCUACCAAGGCGACGAUACAUAGCUGGUCUGAGAGGAUGAUCCGCCACACUGGGACUGAGACACGGCCCAGACUCCUACGGGAGGCAGCAGUGGGGAAUAUUGGACAAUGGGCGAGAGCCUGAUCCAGAAACGCCGUGUGAGUGAUGAAGGCCUUAGGGUUGUACAGCUCUUUUACCCGAGAAGAUAAUGACAGUACCGGGAGAAUAAGCUCCGGCUAACUCCGUG